rnacentral:tRNA from 2 species
GCCUGGCUGGCUCAGUUGGUAGAGCAUGAGACUCUUAAUUAUCAGGGCUGUGAGUUCAAGCCUCACAUUAGGCU